GGCCCUGUUUUAUAAAGCUGACAAUCCGACAAGUCGACAUAUGUCAAAAAGUGACAAUCCUAAAAUUUUUCUGUUUAAUAAAACUGACAGGCGACAAAUUUGUCACGGUGGAAAAUUUACAAAUAUGUCGAAUUGUCGCGACAAUUCGACAUAUUUCUGUUUAAUAAAACUUUUUGGGCGACAGGUGACAGGUGACAAUUUGUCGUGAAAAACUUGUCAAAUCAGCUUUAUUAAACAGAAAAUUGUCACGACAUAUUGACAUAUUUGUAGAAUUGUCCGACAAUUCUGACAGGAGAGUUACCCUCUGUCGCGAAACUAUAUUUUGAAUUUUAAAGGAGUAAGAAAGUGUUUAUAAAACACGCAUUACAAAAAAUGGUACUAUCAUCGAGCAGUGAAAGUCAAUUGGGCACUAAACUUCCCAAACAGUAUGUUUCUAUUUUCAUAGAUAAUCCCCAAAAUACUUAGUUUCUUGUGCAUUUCCAUCACACGCGAUCAAAACAAACAAUCGAAGUUGCACUAGUGAUUGAUUCUUUCUUUUACUUUGUUAAUAUUUUUUCUAUUUUACCCUCAUUUAGCUUCAUAAAACAUUAUUAUUUACAAAUAUGUCAAAAUUCGACAUAAUUGUCACGACAAUCCCACAAUUGUGGUGACGUAAAUUUGACUGUGGUUUUUUGACAUAUGUCGAGUUUUAUUAAACGCUUUUUUAAAUGACAAAUAUGUCACGUUUUCACGGUCGAUUUUUGACAUAAUUGUUACCUUUAUAAAACAGCCUAAGCGCGACAAUUCUACAAUUUUGUCAUUUUUUGACAGAUAUGUCGAAUUGUCAGCUUUAUAAAACAGGGCCCAGGAAGAAAAGAAAAUAGCCAACAACUUCUGUCGUUUCAUCGAUAUUAAAUCCAAAAGUGUCGACUGGAUUUACAUGAAAAGUCAGUUCAAGAAGACGAGAUGAAAAAUUUAAAAGAAAAGCUGAACAAGUCCCGCCUCAAGAUCAAACGACUUAACCCUUUACCGCAUACAGACCCAUAUUUGGUACACGUCACUUACUGAUUGAAAUAUUCGGAUACAUUUCACCUUUCUUGCAAGACAUUUAUUAUUUGUAUAGAGUAUCGUAUAUCCGAACACAUGAUCACAAUAGUUUUUCCAAUCAUACCCCCAUCUUGCGUAUUUUUCAGUUAGUAGUUGAAAGUUCGGAAUAAAGUGCGUUUUUGAGAUUUCGGAUAGCAAAAAGAAAUAUAUCUGUGAAAUUUAUGGAGUAAUAAAUCUUCUUUUUGAUAAUUUUUGAAGAAGAACAUUCCUUUUGCGUAAAACCAGCAAAAAAAUUAUGUAAGCUCAACUAAAAGACAGGUUUUUAUCCAUCCAAACAUUGUUCCAAAUUUGGGACACCAUGCACUUAUGGUAAUUUUCCCUUGGCAAAUUUGGUACAGUAUGCAAUAAGGUAGUUUUUUGUCUUUGGUCAAAUUUGGUACAGUAUGCAGUAAGAUAGAGCAGACAUUUUAGGUGUUUCAAAAAUAUUUGCUACAACUUUAGGUGUCCCUAUUUUAAAAGUUUUUAAGUUUUAUGAACAUAAUCACCACAUGUGGUGGCAGGUAGAAUAUAUCAAGCGACGUCGCCGACUUGAAUUACCUCCACUAGAAGUAGUUCUAGAUGGCAUUGGACAUUGGCCAAUAUGGACUGACGACCAAUGUCCGAGAUGUAAAAGCGAAGGAUGUUCUCAAAAAUCACACGUAAACUGUAGCAAAUUUAUGUUUUAAAAAAACAUAAGAUAGAAACUCCUUUCAAAGUUUUCAUACACAAUGAUGCACAAAUUUACAGACAAUUCUCUCAACACAUAAUAAUCUCGUUAUUAGGUACUUACUUAAUAAACGGCAUUUUUUAAUACUUUAGUUUCUAUUAAGUUUUUAAAAAUAAAGUUGAUUUUUGUAAAAGAAAUAUUAUCUGGCUAUUUUUCAUUUCAUUUUUCAAACAAAUACUUUGCAAAAACAAUGCAACAGACAUACAUAAAUUUUUAUUACGAAAUAUAUAUAUAUAAAUAAGCAGUUUUUUUUACAUGAAUGCAUAUUGUAUCAUAUUUGGCCAGUCAACUUAAUACUACGUUACUGCAUGUUGUACCAAAUAUGGUACACUGAUAUUAUUGGGAUUUUUCUCAGCUUUCCUAGUGUAUUUAAUUUUUUUCUUAUUUUUCCUAUGUUCUAAAAAGUACAUUUUACCUAGUAAAUUAAUUUGAGCUUAAUCAAAAAAUCCAUGCGGUAAAGGGUUAAUGAAAAAAAAAACAAUGUGACAGGGUGUCACAAAGACAGUUUCUAAGCAAAUUGACACUGUUUAGAAAUUAAUAAAUUUGUAUUUAUUGUAAAUAUAAUGUACAUAAUUAAUAACGUGUGAAAUAAAUACUUGCUAAUGAAAAUGAACAGAUUUACGAUCUAAUUUAUAUUUCAUUUUA
rnacentral:lncRNA from 1 species